rnacentral:rRNA from 1 species
UACACUCCUGCGGGAGGCAGCAGUGGGGAAUAUUGCACAAUGGGCGCAAGCCUGAUGCAGCCAUGCCGCGUGUAUGAAGAAGGCCUUCGGGUUGUAAAGUACUUUCAGCGGGGAGGAAGGCGAUAAGGUUAAUAACCUUGUCGAUUGACGUUACCCGCAGAAGAAGCACCGGCUAACUCCGUGCCAGCAGCCGCGGUAAUACGGAGGGUGCAAGCGUUAAUCGGAAUUACUGGGCGUAAAGCGCACGCAGGCGGUCUGUCAAGUCGGAUGUGAAAUCCCCGGGCUCAACCUGGGAACUGCAUUCGAAACUGGCAGGCUAGAGUCUUGUAGAGGGGGGUAGAAUUCCAGGUGUAGCGGUGAAAUGCGUAGAGAUCUGGAGGAAUACCGGUGGCGAAGGCGGCCCCCUGGACAAAGACUGACGCUCAGGUGCGAAAGCGUGGGGAGCAAACAGGAUUAGAAACCCUAGUAGUCCCA